UACGAAGGGGGCUAGCGUUGUUCGGAAUUACUGGGCGUAAAGGGCGCGUAGGCGGUCCUGAUCGUCGGAUGUGAAAGGCCUGGGCUCAACCUGGGAAUGGCAUCCGAUACGGCGGGACUGGAGUGUGGGAGAGGUUGGUGGAAUUCCCAGUGUAGAGGUGAAAUGCGUAGAUAUCGGGAGGAACACCAGUGGCGAAGGCGGCUUCCUGGCCUGUUCUUGACGCUGAGGCGCGAAAGCUAGGGGAGCAAACGGG
rnacentral:rRNA from 1 species